UUUUUGAUAAUAAUUUAAAGUAGGGCCUGCCCMCUGAAUUUUUGAAGGGCCGCAGUAUUUUGACUGUGCAAAGGUAGCAUAAUCAUUAGUUUUUUAAUUGAAAGCUUGUAUGAAUGGUUUGAUGAGAAAAUAUCUUUCUAUAUCUAAAUUUAGAAUAAUUUUAUUUUUAAGUUAAAAAGCUUAAAUUUUUUUAAUAGACGAGAAGACCCUAUAGAGUUUUAUUUUUAAAAGAGUUUAAAUUUUUAGAAUUUAAAACAUUUUAGUUCUUAGAAGAAUUUGAUUGGGGUGAUUAAAAAAUUAAAUAAACUUUUUUUAUAUAUUUACAUAUAUCUAUGAAUAUUUGAUCCUUUAUAAAGAUUACAAGAUUAAAUUACCUUAGGGAUAACAGCGUUAUUUUUUUUUAGAGUUCAAAUCGAAAAAAGAGAUUGCGACCUCGAUGUUGGAUUAAAGUUAAUUUUAGGUGCAGAAGCUUAAAUAUUUGGUCUGUUCGACCAUUGAAACUUUACA
rnacentral:rRNA from 1 species